rnacentral:rRNA from 1 species
UGCCCCGGCAUGUUCCAAGACAUCGUCUGCCCUCGAGCGAGACUACUGCAAUUCUGA